rnacentral:rRNA from 1 species
GAUGAACGCUGGCGGCGUGCCUAAUACAUGCAAGUAGAACGCUGAAGGAGGAGCUUGCUCUUCUGGAUGAGUUGCGAACGGGUGAGUAACGCGUAGGUAACCUGCCUGGUAGCGGGGGAUAACUAUUGGAAACGAUAGCUAAUACCGCAUGACAACAGUUAUUGCAUGAUAACUGUUUAAAAGGGGCAACUGCUCCACUACCAGAUGGACCUGCGUUGUAUUAGCUAGUUGGUGAGGGAACGGCUCACCAAGGCGACGAUACAUAGCCGACCUGAGAGGGGGAUCGGCCACACUGGGACUGAGAACCGGCCCAGACUCCUACGGGAGGGAGCAGGAGGGAAUCUUCGGCAAUGGACGGAAGUCCGACCGAGCAACGCCGCGUGAGGGAAGAAGGUUUUCGGGUCGUAAAGCUCUGUUGUAAGAGAAGAACGAGUGUGAGAGUGGAAAGUUCACACUGUGACGGUAGCUUACCAGAAAGGGACGGCUAACUACGUG